UACGUAGGGUGCAAGCGUUAAUCGGAAUUACUGGGCGUAAAGCGUGCGUAGUCGGUUAUCUAAGUCGGGUGUGAAAUCCCCGGGCUCAACCUGGGAAUUGCAUUCGAUACUGGAUAGCUAGAGUUCGGCAGAGGGAAGCGGAAUUUCGGGUGUAGCGGUGAAAUGCGUAGAUAUCCGAAGGAACAUCAGUGGCGAAAGCGGCUUCCUGGACCAGAACUGACGAUCAGGCACGAAAGCGUGGGGAGCAAACAGG
rnacentral:rRNA from 1 species